AGAGUUUGAUCCUGGCUCAGGAUGAACGCUAGCGAUAGGCUUAACACAUGCAAGUCGAGGGGCAGCAUGGUCUUAGCUUGCUAAGACUGAUGGCGACCGGCGCACGGGUGCGUAACGCGUAUGCAACUUGCCUCACAGAGGGGGAUAACCCGUCGAAAGACGGACUAAUACCGCGUACACUCUAUGUUGGGCAUCCAAUGUAGAGGAAAUGAAAUUCGCUGUGAGAUAGGCAUGCGUCCCAUUAGCUAGUUGGUGAGGUAACGGCUCACCAAGGCGACGAUGGGUAGGGGAACUGAGAGGUUGAACCCCCACACUGGUACUGAGACACGGACCAGACUCCUACGGGAGGCAGCAGUGAGGAAUAUUGGUCAAUGGGCGAGAGCCUGAACCAGCCAAGUAGCGUGCAGGAUGACGGCCCUAUGGGUUGUAAACUGCUUUUAUGUGAGAAUAAAGUUAGGUAUGUAUACUUAUUUGCAUGUAUCACAUGAAUAAGGACCGGCUAAUUCCGUGCCAGCAGCCGCGGUAAUACGGAAGGUCCAGGCGUUAUCCGGAUUUAUUGGGUUUAAAGGGUGCGUAGGCCGUUUGAUAAGCGUGCUGUGAAAUAUAGUGGCUCAACCUCUAUCGUGCAGCGCGAACUGUUGAACUUGAGUGCGUAGUAGGUAGGCGGAAUUCGUGGUGUAGCGGUGAAAUGCUUAGAUAUCACGAAGAACUCCGAUUGCGAAGGCAGCUUACCGUAACGUUACUGACGCUUAAGCACGAAGGUGCGGGUAUCGAACAGGAUUAGAUACCCUGGUAGUCCGCACAGUAAACGAUGGAUGCCCGCUGUUAGCGCCUGGCGUUAGCGGCUAAGCGAAAGCAUUAAGCAUCCCACCUGGGGAGUACGCCGGCAACGGUG
rnacentral:rRNA from 1 species